rnacentral:rRNA from 1 species
UACGGAGGAUGCGAGCGUUAUCCGGAUUUAUUGGGUUUAAAGGGUGCGUAGGCGGACUGUCAAGUCAGCGGUAAAAUUGAGAGGCUCAACCUCUUCCCGCCGUUGAAACUGGUGGUCUUGAGUGGAUGAGAAGUACGCGGAAUGCGUGGUGUAGCGGUGAAAUGCAUAGAUAUCACGCAGAACUCCGAUUGCGAAGGCAGAGUACCGGCAUCCAACUGACGCUGAGGCACGAAAGCGUGGGGAUCAAACAGG